CCGAGCGAGUUAGUUGAACCUUGCUUAGCUGUCUGUGAGAGAUUGAGAGAUUAAAGCCUGUCCUCUGCCUACAUCCCCCAGAAUGCUGUGCGGUUCUUCAUUGGAUCAAAUCUCCAGUAGACUCCGGCAGCCGUUUUCUGAACUCUAUGAAUCGGACUGAGUUACACCUGGGCCCUUUAGCAUGAUUUAAACAGCCGCCAGCGUCUGAAAGGCCAGCCGUCUUUGUCAGCAGUUUUUCUCGUCAUCUGGCAGGAUUUCACACACCGAGCGAUCUCGGAUAAAGUGCGAACGCAAGCAAAAGGGAGCAGGUGGAAGUUCUUAGGAGAACUGUUCUUCCUCAGAUUGAGAUGGAGACGAAGUAGUCACAUCAACCCACAUGUUCCGCUUGAAUAUAUAUUG